UGAUUAUAAUCAUCAAACCGUGCCGAGAAAUUUGAUAGCAUUUAAUUACUACAAAUUUACAAAAUAUUUAGACAAUAAUUCAUAAACAUAUCAUAAAUAAGAUCAAUCUUAAUAAAAUAAAUGAGUUUUUUUACCGGACGGGUUGGCGGGACGGGUUUGGCAAGACAUUACUUAAUAACAAUUGUAAACUAUAAAAUAAAAACAUUUUAUAAAUAUGUACAAUUUGCAAACUUUUAUAUAUAUUAAUUUAAAAAAUAAAUUGUUUCCGCGGUGUACCGCGGGUUAAAAUCUAGUACAUAUAUAUGAAACGUGUAUAUAAAUGGAAGGGACAUGAAGAAGAAGGAUGGGACAAGAUGUUGAAACUUUAUAUAAGAAUGGGUAACAUCUUAACAUGGCUCACUCAUCAACUCUUUCUUCUUCUUAUUAUUGUUCUUUU
rnacentral:sRNA from 1 species